rnacentral:rRNA from 1 species
AGAGUUUGAUCCUGGCUCAGGACGAACGCUGGCGGCACGCUUAACACAUGCAAGUCGAACGAGAGAAGAGGAGCUUGCUUUUCUGAUCUAGUGGCGGACGGGUGAGUAACACGUGAGCAAUCUGCCUUUCAGAGGGGGAUACCGAUUGGAAACGAUCGUUAAUACCGCAUAACAUAAUUGAACCGCAUGAUUUGAUUAUCAAAGAUUUAUCGCUGAAAGAUGAGCUCGCGUCUGAUUAGCUAGUUGGUAAGGUAACGGCUUACCAAGGCGACGAUCAGUAGCCGGACUGAGAGGUUGAUCGGCCACAUUGGGACUGAGACGCGGCCCAGACUCCUACGGGAGGCAGCAGUGGGGAAUAUUGCACAAUGGAGGAAACUCUGAUGCAGCGAUGCCGCGUGAGGGAAGAAGGUUUUAGGAUUGUAAACCUCUGUCUUCAGGGACGAAAAAAGACGGUACCUGAGGAGGAAGCUCCGGCUAACUAUGUGCCAGCAGCCGCGGUAAUACGUAGGGAGCGAGCGUUGUCCGGAAUUACUGGGUGUAAAGGGAGCGUAGGCGGGAUCGCAAGUCAGAUGUGAAAACUAUGGGCUUAACCCAUAAACUGCAUUUGAAACUGUGGUUCUUGAGUGAAGUAGAGGUAAGCGGAAUUCCUAGUGUAGCGGUGAAAUGCGUAGAUAUUAGGAGGAACAUCAGUGGCGAAGGCGGCUUACUGGGCUUUAACUGACGCUGAGGCUCGAAAGCGUGGGGAGCAAACAGGAUUAGAUACCCUGGUAGUCCACGCCGUAAACGAUGAUUACUAGGUGUGGGGGGACUGACCCCUUCCGUGCCGCAGCAAACGCAAUAAGUAAUCCACCUGGGGAGUACGACCGCAAGGUUGAAACUCAAAGGAAUUGACGGGGGCCCGCACAAGCAGUGAGUAUGUGGAUUAAUUCGAAGCAACGCGAAGAACCUUACCAGGUCUUGACAUCGUAUGCAUAGCUCAGAGAUGAGUGAAAUCUCUUCGGAGACAUAUAGACAGGUGGUGCAUGGUUGUCGUCAGCUCGUGUCGUGAGAUGUUGGGUUAAGUCCCGCAACGAGCGCAACCCUUACUGUUAGUUGCUACGCAAGAGCACUCUAGCAGGACUGCCGUUGACAAAACGGAGGAAGGUGGGGAUGACGUCAAAUCAUCAUGCCCCUUAUGACCUGGGCCUCACACGUACUACAAUGGCUGUCAACAGAGGGAAGCAAAGCCGCGAGGUGGAGCGAACCCCUAAAAGCAGUCUUAGUUCGGAUUGUAGGCUGCAACCCGCCUACAUGAAGUCGGAAUUGCUAGUAAUCGCAGAUCAGCAUGCUGCGGUGAAUACGUUCCCGGGCCUUGUACACACCGCCCGUCACGCCAUGGGAGUCGGUAACACCCGAAGCCUGUAGUCUAACCGCAAGGAGGACGCAGUCGAAGGUGGGAUUGAUGACUGGGGUGAAGUCGUAACAAGGUA